CUACGGGUCGCACCAGUGAGGAAUUUUGCGCAAUGGGGGAAACCCUGACGCAGCAACGCUGCGUGAGCGAAGAAGGCCCUCGGGUCGUAAAGCUCUGUCAAGUGGGAAAAAAAUCUUUUAAUCAAUAGUUAAAAGACUUGAUGGUACCACUGGAGGAAGCACCGGCUAACUCCGUGCCAGCAGCCGCGGUAAUACGGAGGGUGCAAGCGUUGUUCGGAAUUACUGGGCGUAAAGAGCGUGUAGGCGGUUUGGCAAGUCAGAUGUGAAAGCCCCGGGCUUAACCUGGGAAGUGCAUUUGAAACUGCUUGACUAGAGUAUGGGAGAGGAGAUUGGAAUUCCUGGUGUAGAGGUGAAAUUCGUAGAUAUCAGGAGGAACACCCGUGGCGAAGGCGAUUCUCUGGACCAAUACUGACGCUGAGACGCGAAAGCGUGGGGAGCAAACAGGAUUAGAUACCCCGGUAGUC
rnacentral:rRNA from 1 species